rnacentral:tRNA from 2 species
GCGCCUGUAGCUCAGUGGAUAGAGCGUCUGCCUCCGGAGCAGAAGGUCGGGGGUUCGAAUCCCUUCAGGCGCACCA